UCAAACCAUUUAUUUCCGUUACAGCCCAUUUCUUGGCCCAAAUCCAGUUUUCCCAAUCUCUUCGUUUUCUCGUAAUCUUGGCACAAUUCUAAGGUCUAGAAGAAAACCCAGUUUCACAGUUUGCUUUGUUCUGGAGGAUGAGAAGUUGAAUACUCAAUUUGACAAGUUGAAUGCUCAAUUAGAGACUGGGACAGAGGAGAUUCAAAUAAAAACUGAGGAGCAGAUCUCAGCGACACGUUUAGCCGAAAAAUUGGCUAGGAAAAAAUCGGAGAGGUUUACUUAUCUUGUGGCUGCGGUUAUGUCUAUUUUUGGGAUUACUUCCUUGGCUAUUAUGGCUGUCUAUUACAGAUUUUCGUGGCAAAUGGAGAUAUGAAUCACUUCAUAAUUAAUUCCCACUUCACUCUUCUUCUCAUUUUUCUUAUUUUUAGAAAAAUUACUUUUUACUGAAUUUUCUAAUAAUCUAUUUGGGUGUAGGGUGGAGAAGUGCCUUUAACUGAAAAGUUUGGUACAUUUGCUCUCUCAGUUGGUGUUGCUUGUAUAUGUAGAGUUGAAAAAUGAGAACAAAGAAUUCGAGAUGUAUCCUCUGUGCAUAACAAGAAUUGACAAAGAAGUUGCAGUCGGAGGUAGUUUAAUUCAAGGCGAUAUUGUGCAAAUAGAGGAAGCAGUUCAAAGGUAUAAUUUUGAUACAGAUAAUACACUUGCUCUUUUGAUGUUGUCAAUUUAGGCGAACCAAUUAGAGUGUUCGAACUGGACAAGGAUUUGAUAAUUUCAAAAACUAAUCAAAGGGAGGUUAUGGUUGAACAAGUAUAUAAGGAUAAGGCUACAUUGAAAGAAGUGAUGGGCAUUAUGCUAUAUCUGAAAGGUUUCAAUUUCGGGUUGAUAGGUCUAAUACUAUCAGGUUUGAGUGUUCUUAACUAUUCAUAAUUUUUUUGUAUAUUGUAUUCAUGGUAGGAGUUGUAAAUGGUAUUAAGAUGUAUUUGGGAAUUUUUACUUGACCUUCA